UUUGAGUCUUUUUAGUUUGUUUUGAGUUCCUUGAGUCUAGUUAAGUGUUUUUAAGUCCAGUUUUGUGUUUUGGAGUCAUAUUUGUGUAGAUUAGCCGCCCUAGUUAAUCCCCGGCCUAGAACGAUCCCUACUUUCAUAUACUACAACUAUCUUAAUAAGGUUUAAUUUGAGUGUUAGAAUAUUUCACAUCAAAUUUUGGCGCCGUUGCCGGGGAUUAGCAAAUUUGCUAAUCCCUUGUUUGUGUCGUGUCUUUGUGUUUUCUUUUAAGUGUCAAAGUAUGUUUUUGUGUGUUUUUGCCGUACCUUCUACCUGGUUGCUUAUUUGUUUUUGUUUCUUGUUUCAGGUACUAGUUUAUGACUCGUAGUUCUCAACCUAUUAGUGCAAACAUCUUGGAGUUCGACGACGAUUUUGAACGAACUUUGAGAAGAAAGAGGAAACAACCAGAACCUAAUCCACCUAGUUCAAGUUUAGAGGCCAAAUCUGAAUUUGAAGAAGAAGAAGAAGAAGAAGAAGUCAUGGCAGCAGACAAUCGUACAAUCAAAGAACUUUCAACCUCGGGGUUGGACAAUGUUGUGCCCUUUUGCAUUCAAUACCUCGUGGCUGCCCAAGGAAGACCGAUGAGUUCAAGUUGAAGUCAAGCUUGCCGCAUCAUAUUCCUAAGUACCAUGGGUUGUCCAUGGAAGAUCCAAACAAGCAUUUGAAGGAGUUUGAAAUGGUGUGCUCAAGCAUGACACCCAUCAAUGUUGAUGGGAGCAUUCUAAAGAUGAAGGCCUUUCCAUUCUCUCUUAUGGAUAAGGCUAAAGAUUGGCUAUACGAAUUGGCACCCGAAACUAUCAUUUCUUGGGAAAGCAUGAAACGAGCAUUUUUAGAAAAGUUUUUCCCAACUUCGAGAGUCAUUCUCUUGAGAAAAAAGAAUUAGUGGCAGUCAACAAAGCCAAGGUGAAUCCUGUCCAGCAUAUUAUGAGCGUUUUAAGGGUCUAGUUGCAUCUUGCCCUCAACAUCAAAUGAAGGAGGAACUUUUACUUCAAUAUUUCUACGAGGGACUCCUCCCAAUUGAAAGACACAUGUUAGAUGAUUCAGCGGGAGGUGCUUUGGUUGAUAAAAUACCGGUGGCUGCCAAGAUCUUAACUGCAAACGAGCCUUGAAUGCACAACAAUACGAAGGUGUUGGACAAAGAGACAUCCCACGGCAACAACAAGUGAAUGAGGUAAGUGCAAUUUCCGAACUUCAAUCUCAAAUGGCUAAUCUUACUAUUCUUUUGUCACAGGUUGUCGAUGGAUCCAAAGUACAAGGCGUGGCCAUAUGUGGAGUGUGCUCUAUGAAGGGGUAUCUUAAUGAUCAAUGCCCUCAGUUGAUAGAGAAUGGAUGAUGGGAAAAUGCAAAUGCCGUGGGCUAUCAAGGCUAAAAUCAGCCACGGAAUGAUCCAUACUCUAACACCUAUAAUCUGGGCUGGAAAGAUCACCCAAACUUCAAGUGGAGAGAGCCUCAACAACCUCAACAACAAGGAAGAUAUAGACAGCCACCUCUCGGGCUCUAUCAAAUACCAUUCACACCAAUUCAACCCCAUCCAUAAUAUGCCCAAACAAACUCAAGUUUGUCAUUAGAUAAUGAUACACUUCUUCAAUUACUAACUUCAUUAACGCAGGGCCAACAAAAUCAAGCCAAGGAGAUGAGUGAAGUAAAGAAGCAAAUAGGGCAUAUUUCAGAGUUUCUUGGGCAGUUUCGAGAAGAAGGCAAACUGCCUAGCUCAACCAUUGUUAAUCCAAAAUGAGGUUUUGAAACUGCCAAGGCCAUCACUUUGAGAAGUGGUAAAGAGAUUGGAACCAAACCAAACAUGACCAUAAUAAGUCUAAAAGAGGAAGAGAAGUUGCUGCUCGAAGAAGAAAAAUUGGACAAACCCACGGCAAGGAUUGCACAACCCUUGCCGCAGCCCCCUAAACUUUCCAAUUCAGCAAAUUUAGGUAAGGUUCCAAGUCGGUUAAUUCUAACAUUAUUCCACCAAAUGUGCCUUUUCCUAGCAUAUUUAUGCAAGCCAAGAACGAAGAGGAUAAAAGGACAUUAUGGAGAUGUUUAGGAAGGUGCACGUCAAUAUCCCGCUCCUUGAUGUAUAAAGCAAAUCCCGAAGUACGCUAAGUUUUUAAUAAGCUUUGUACAACAAGGAAGUGGAUUUGGGAGAAAGAGGUGGUACAUGUGAGUCAGAAUGUCUCUGCAAUGUUGCAAAGAAAGCUGCCACCUAAAUGCAAAGAUCCAGGUAGACCACUUGAUUUUUCCUAUAGAUUUCUAUGUGCUUGACAUGGAGGAUUCAACCUACUCUUCACCAUCGCCAAUCUUACUUGGACGACUUUUCAUGAAAAUAGCCCAAACCAAGAUUGAUGUGGCCAAGGGAGCGACAAAACAAAUUUCGAGUAGAUCGAGUAGUGUACAAAGCAUUUUGUAUGGACAAUAUUGUUCCAUUUGGCAACAUAAUCUGGACUUUCCUGAGCCUUCAUUUACAUCUGAUUGGCCAAUAUUUUUGUUACCUUUACUUUUGUAAUCAUCAAGCUUGAGAAAUAUUUUCGA